ACUGGGAGGGACGCCGCCGCCGCCGCCGCCGCCACUCCCUGCGACGGAAAGAGGGCGCGCGCACCCCAGCCCGUCCGCGGCCGUCGUCUUGGCGGGGCGGUUCGCCGAGAGGAAACUUCCUUUGCGACUUAACGCUGGGACGUAAACCGGUGUCUUGGAACAGGGGAAAGGGGAAAAAAAACAAAAAAGCAACGAAAGAAGCCGUGACCGAAGCAAGAAGGCAGAUAGGAAAAGAUGCCAUUGCACGUAUCGUUAACAAAAGAGAAAUGGAAACCCAAUCGGUGUGAUUCAUCGAUUUCCUUUCCUUGGACGACUAAAGACGCUCAGUUUUGCCCAACCAUUUAAAAGACCCGAUGAUCAUAAGCACAUUGGCGCUCUGUCUCCCUCCCUCCCUCCCUCUCUGUCUGUCUCAAGAUGAAACGCUUUUCUAACUAAGGGAACGCGAGUUCUGUCACCAUAAAUCUGUGGAGGAAUAACAUUACGCCCCACGUAUAAGCUGGGUGAGAUGGCAUGCCGCGCGGUUUGAAAGUAAAUCCUUGCGGUUUUGAAUACAGAAAACAAUGACACCUUUCAGCAUAGACCCAGCUUUUCAGAUGAGUUAUGUACUUUGGGGAGUAUUUGAAAGUUCAGGAUGUUCCAGGCCUAUCAGAAACAGGAUGUUCUGCUACUUCCUGCUGUAGACUAUCAACAGAAAUAUGUACUGAAUGAAGAUAUUUAAUGUAUGACACACAGCAGUCACUGUCAGUUUCACUCUUGCAAGUUAUAUCCAAAUUUUAAAUGUGCUAGUAGUAUUCAGAAACAAGAUUCAGCUCCAGAUCUAUUUGUAACAGUUUUCCUUACUGUAGGCAUCAUGCUAGUUUGCAUUUUAAAAAGGAUCUAUUAAAAAGUACAAAUUACUACAGUAAAAUUGGACUGCAAAGUAAAGGCUGCCCUAAACUUGUAUAUCACACUCACUACUAUAUUUAGAGUUAGAAUCAGAGUGAUAUGGUGUGCGCUUGGACCACAGUACCCUGGAUUUCAGUAUUGACUUGGGCCAGGGAGCAUUCAUACUGUAUCAGCUUCUCCGUAAAGUAUAUCAUAUGGCCUUGACCAAAUUAGCCUCUCUAAUAACAAUCUGCCAGAUUAUUAACAUAAAGGAGGAAAGUUUCAUGGAUGUGACCUUAAACUUUUUAAGAUAACGUAGUUAACCUUCAAACAUCUGUGGGAUGCAACAUUAUUUAACUGGAUUGUAUUUCAAGUCCCCUGAAAUUGGGGAAGGGUGGAAGAGAGACAGAAAAAGAGUGAUAUUGGAAUGUGUAUUAUUUUCAGCUAGUAGAUUCUAAUUAUUUUGUACUCUGUAAAUAAUGCCAGAAGUUGUAAUCUUAAGAACAGUGCAAUUGUUUAUUCUAAACAAAUGUCUUGUAUUUGAGGACUAUUUGUAACCCACCUGAAUAUCAUGACAAUCAUGUCAGCAUUCUUUUUUCUGGAGCAAAACACAUUUGAUUGGCUUCACCAUGUGGUUAUUUUAAUUAAGCGUUGCCAGAUGUGGUUUCAGACCUAUGCAGAUAGCAAAUUGUGUCCCCUGCCAAUCAGUUGAUGAUGUCAUUGGUACUUUCCAUUGUGCCAGGUCCUAACUUGUCAUGCUUUUUUACUUUUAUUAUUAUGGGAUAAAACUUUAUCAUCCCAGAAGGAAGAUAAGAUCUGGCAUUACAAAAACUGGCCAGUGAUGUCAUUGAAUAAUAAACAUGGGGCUCAAUUUUUUUCUAGAGUGGUUUGAAGCUUGUUAGAUCCAUGAAUGGUACUAGCUAUGAGAUCUAUUCAUAUAUAAAUGGAUUUCAUACACCUUAAGGCAUGAACAAUGUUGUUUCAUCAAUUUUUGCUAUUCUUACCAACUGUACAUUAGGAAGUUCAUAGAAAAAAUAUGAUUGUAAGACUUAAUUAGGUUAUUUUUUCUGGAUAACGUUCACACAACUAUAGUUAAUGCUUUUAUGUUUAAUUAAUAGAAAAAAAGCACUCAUACAUAUAAUAGAGAAAAUGAAAUAAUAUAGUUUCAGACUUACAAUAAGAAGACAGGGAGGGAGGGAGGAAGGAAAACAUAUUAACAAUUCCAUGAGUUUUGACAUAUUGUUCAAAAGUCUGUCCUUUUCCUUUGUCAAAAAAGACCUUCAUAGGUGGACAAACACAUAUCAAUGACCUACUGGUCCAGAACAGGUGUAGGUUUCUUUUUCUUUUAGUCAACUCCUCACCCAAACAUUAAUACAUUGCACUAAACCACAAUAUGCUUUGUUGUUUAAUAUGCUUUGCUAAAUGUAAUGUGCAAACCUAUCUCUUGUGUUUUGCAAAUCACUGUUUAUGGUUUAGCAUGAUAUAUGAGCCCAGCUAACUGUGUCUUAGAGAACAAACAAUGGUUUUAAAAUUGAACCUUAAUGUGAUGUAUGAAUCCCCUUGUCAACUACAGUGAUGUCUUGUACCACCUAUUUUCAACAUUUUCUUUUUGUUUAUAGAAUAUUCUGUAAGCAAACAUUUUUCAUAUAACUCUAAAUUGUUAGAAAUAAAACUUACAUAUCAAGAGGCGUUUAAAAAGCAACUAAUAUUUUGCUUAUAAACAAACACACUACUUUUUUCAAGGAAUAAUAUAACAUAAAAUAUGAGUUGCCAUGUGUGAGUUGGUGGCAAUAUAAAUUUUCUAAAUAAAUAAAUGUAAGAGGUAUAUGGAAUUAUUUUACUAUUUCAAAAAUAUCCCACUUAUCAAAGAAUAUCUACUGUUCCCUUUGGACCUCCAAUGCUCACCCCACAACAGGUUGGGAACUGUCACCUUUGGCCUCAGCUAAAAAUUUUGUGCGCAGGUAAAAUCUCAUUGAUUUUAAAAGCAGCAGGCUGGUGAUUCAAAAUUUAAACAUACACACACGUUGGAAUUAAGACAGCUUAGGUUUUGGGGAUGGAAGAGCAACAAUGAUUUGUGUUGGAAAGAUCAGCCAAAUACACUUAGCUCCUUGCUUUCAGACUAAGCCUUUGACACUGUGGAGUAGUGUUUCAUAUUUAAUGAACUGCUUGUUCUCUACUUCAGAGCAUACUCUAAUUAUCUCACUAGCUGCUGUCUCCUAAGGCUUCUUAAUUACCAGGAGUAUAUAUACUCAACCUUGUACUUUAUGUAGAUAGAUGGUUCUCCCUUAUUGUUUCUGCCUGGUAGAGAUCUUGAGACAAGUCAAAACAUAGAUAAGAUUUUUUUUAAAAAAAACUAAGAAUGAAAGCCAUUGGCAAAAUUCACAGCUGAUGCUGAUAUUAUCUUAUUUUGCCAGACAUUACUUCGCAGAAAAUUCUGAAACAUGGCUAAGCAAAUAUUUAUUCUUACAAAAGCAAUGUUCACAAAGAUUUUUUUUCCAAAAACAAAAUGAUUUCAGAUCACUCUUAGUCUCAGUAGCUAAAAUAGUGGAGGAAAUGGAUAAUGGAUCUGAAACAUAAUUAUUCUUCUAAUUCAGGAGUAGAGUUGUUGUUAAGAAGGAUGGCCAUUAGCCAAGUUGAUAGCGGUAGAAACGAGUUCAAUAAUAUCUGGAGAAACACCAUUUUUUCAUUUGCAUUUUAGCUGCAUGAUUCUAAGAAAACUUCAGGUUUGUCUUUGAAAGGCAGUCCAUCUUGAUUUGAUCCUUCCAAAGGUUACAGUUCAAACCAAUACUUGCCUAUUUUUUCAGUUGUACUUAUCCCAAUAAGUGGCUAUAUAAUGUGCAACAUAGAGGAAGUUUAAGAUUUACAUGGGAUAUAGCAUAGAAUAGAUAAUGUCCCACAUGGCGAUAUAGCAAAUGUUCUAGAACAGCAAAUCAGAAGAAAUAAGCUUAAUUUUGUUUUUACUCUGACUUUUAGUUGCUAAGAUUAAGGUCAUACUACAUCAACCGAAACUCAUCUUGCUUAGUAUGUAGUUGCUACUAGUAGGCAGUCAGAAAAUAAUACAGGUAGUCCUCAACUUGUAACAUCUUGUUUAGUGACCAUUCAAAGUUACAACGGCACUGAAAAAAGUGACUUAUGAUCCUUUCUCACACUUAUGACCGAUACAGCAUCCCCAUGGUCAUGUGAUUUACAUUUGGAUACUCAACAAAUGCUUCAUAUUUAUGAAGGUUGCAGUGUCCCGGGAUCAUGUGAUCUCCUUUUGCAACCUUUGAACAAGUCAAGGGGGAUGCCAUAUUAACUUAAUAAUCGUAACUUAACAGAUGCAGUGAUUCACUUAACAAAUGUGGCAUGAAAAGUAAAAUUGGGCAAAACUCACUUCACAAAUUUCUCACUUAGCAACAUAAAUUUUGGACUCAAUUGUGGUUGUAAGUUGAGGACUAUCUGUACAACCAGACUAACCUUACGUCGAAUCAUGGAGUCCCUAUUCAGUCUUCAUGACAAAAUAGAUAGUGAAAUAACUAUUGUUUGUGAAUUUGUGGAACACGUCAAUUUCAUCUAAGUUGGCCAUCAUCUAUUUAUCUAAUACCACUAAAACUUUCAUUAUAAUGUAACAUGUUUCCUUUGGUUUCUUCUAUGCUUUAGCAGCAGCUUAAUUGGGUGCUCUUUGAAACUUUUUGAAAAUAGCAGUGAUACACUGCUAUUUUAUAUGUAAAAAAUAUGUACAGUAAGUACUUUGGUUUUAUUGUAUAUUUGUAAUCUGCUAGGAAAUAGUAAAAAGAAAACAUGUAAAAGAACAUUACAAGAAGUAACUUCCUUCCUUCCUCCCAUAUACCCAUUUAUUAUAAGAGCUGAUUAAACAAGUCAAAUAAAGAUACACUAUUUUUUCCCCCAAAUAUUGCAUACUUCUGAAAUAAUCUAAAAGGAACGUUCAGACUUCUUAUAGAGAGAGAGAUUUGAGAAAAUGUUUCUUGAUUAUUCAAUAAAAAUAUUAUUAAUUCUUCCUUGAA